CCUCUUUUUUCUGCCGAACAUGCAGCUUAUAUUCCCUUUGCCGGCUCGCGCCGGCUAUGGCGAUAAAUGGUCAUCGAAAUAAACCUUUCGGACCCGGGGGCAGUACCCGGCGCCUCCACCAGAGCCCGUCAGGGCGGGCUGCGGCGGGGGCGAAACAGGAUCGACGAGGGUGUAAAGGGUGUGCUUUCGCUCGGCAUGGUUCCGCCGAUAUCGGGCCUUUUCAAUAGUUGCCAACGACAACUAUGCUCCGGUUGCGGUUGCCGCGUAAGCGGUAACUAGACCGAAAUCAAGUCCUGACGGGUAGCACCGGCAGGCGGGGUUCGGAGGCACCUGGCAACAGAAGCCUCCACU
rnacentral:tmRNA from 1 species